UCCCUGGUGGCUCAGUGGGUAGAGCGUCUGCCUAAUGCGGGAGACCUGGGUUCGAUCCCUGGGUUGGGAA
rnacentral:tRNA from 1 species